rnacentral:rRNA from 1 species
GACGAACGCUGGCGGCGUGCUUAACACAUGCAAGUCGAACGGAAAGGCCCUGCUUUUGUGGGGUGCUCGAGUGGCGAACGGGUGAGUAACACGUGAGUAACCUGCCCUUGACUUUGGGAUAACUUCAGGAAACUGGGGCUAAUACCGGAUAGGAGCUCCUGCUGCAUGGUGGGGGUUGGAAAGUUUCGGCGGUUGGGGAUGGACUCGCGGCUUAUCAGCUUGUUGGUGGGGUAGUGGCUUACCAAGGCUUUGACGGGUAGCCGGCCUGAGAGGGUGACCGGCCACAUUGGGACUGAGAUCCGGCCCAGACUCCUACGGGAGGCAGCAGUGGGGAAUAUUGCCCAAUGGGCGGAAGCCUGAUGCAGCAACGCCGCGUGCGGGAUGACGGCCUUCGGGUUGUAAACCGCUUUCGCCUGUGACGAAGCGUGAGGGACGGUAAUGGGUAAAGAAGCACGGGCUAACUACGUG